ACCAGACUCCUACGGGAGGCAGCAGUGGGGGAUAUUGCACAAUGGGGGGAACCCUGAUGCAGCGACGCCGCGUGGGUGAAGAAGCGCCUCGGCGCGUAAAGCCCUGUCAGCAGGGAAGAAAAUGACGGUACCUGAAGAAGAAGCCCCGGCUAACUACGUGCCAGCAGCCGCGGUAAUACGUAGGGGGCAAGCGUUAUCCGGAUUUACUGGGUGUAAAGGGGGCGCAGACGGCGAUGCAAGCCAGGAGUGAAAGCCCGGGGCCCAACCCCGGGACUGCUCUUGGAACUGCGUGGCUGGAGUGCAGGAGGGGCAGGCGGAAUUCCUGGUGUAGCGGUGAAAUGCGUAGAUAUUAGGAGGAACACCAGUGGCGAAGGCGGCCUGCUGGACGAUGACUGACGUUGAGGCCCGAAAGCGUGGGGAGCAAACAGGAUUAGAUACCCCUGUA
rnacentral:rRNA from 1 species